rnacentral:lncRNA from 1 species
CUCAGUCUGUCAAGGAAGAAACAUCAAGUCAGUUCAAUGAAAACUUUUCAGAAUGAAACAAUCAACCUUCUCUGUUGGCUUUAUUCUGCUCUCCAUUGCCGUGCUGUAUACAGUAGGUUGAAAUUCUACAGUGAAACUUGCUCUUUUUGUAUUUUCUGCAUUUACUUACGUUUAUAUUGAACACUUUUUUCGUAAGAUAAGAAGGAAGAUACGAGUCGCAGACUCGAUUUUGGCGCUGCCCCUUACCGCGCGCUGAGUUGAAUCUGUUCCUGAAGAUUCAGGGUGAAGUAUUUUUACUAGGUUGGGUGCUUAGCCUAAUCUGACUCAAUGUGCCGCCUGUAUGUGCAUAUUGAAAACUGAUAUCUGGUUUACUUAUGGUUGGAUCUCUCUUGUGCUUUGAACGAAACCUUUUUACCUUUACUGUGCUCAGGCCUCAGUGACCAGAGAUGGGUCAUCCGUAUGGUAGCCGCCAGAGGCACCCCAACACCACUUCGAUUCGCGAUCACGUUUGAAUUGAGAACUUUGCAGUUCACCACUCAUUUGCGAGGGAGGAUGAAUGCCAACUUUCAGACGCUUUAGAUUCGAUUUCAGAUGUUUUAUUUUCGAUUGUUUUACAUCUUAUUUUACGAAUAAUUGUCGAACANNNNNNNNNNNNNNNNNNNNCCCCCCCCCCCCAGCCCCGGGGAUAUACCGGAUUUUAACGGGACUUUGCGGGGGAAAUACAGGCUUUUACUGAAACGUCGCUUGUUUGCUACCCGGGGUUUUAACACUGACUUAAAUAGCCGGGGCAUCAUAGCCGGGGAUUUAACGCCAUUUUUAGCGCAAUUGAAAAGCGCUCGGGAAAGUGAUCGUGUGCACAGUCUUAGAUUUGUUUGUACUUUGUAUAUAUUUGGGAAAUUAUUAUAUUAAGAUAUUAAGCGCUACUCUUGUUGUUUGCAUGAUUUGAGUGAUGUAUUACCUGGUUUAUACCGUGAAUUUAUAUUUUACCCUAUUAACAUACCAGUAUAUAUGACCUGGCUUAUGCGUACUUUAAUAAUUAAAAACGGUAUUAUUUUACAAAGGAGGAAAGCAUCUGACAACCAUUGGCUUCAUUUGAACCAUUCUCCUGUAUUAAUUUUAUAAUAUGCAUACGAAAUUUUUAAAGAACGAACCAGGUAAAGUAUUUUAUUAUAUAAAUUAUAACUUAAACACACGUAAAAAUACGAUAUUUUUACGUGUGAAAAUAUCAUUUGUUGUAAAACGCAUUGCCACGGACGUUUUAUUGUUUUUCACUGAAUUUUGUUUAUAUAAUAAACAGAAAAAUACAUGGGUGCUUGGAAAUACCAGAUUUAUUUCUCGUGUUGAACAUAAUAUCUCACUCGUUCGCUGCCCUCACUCGUGAGAUAUCAUGUUCAACACUCGAAAUAAAUCUGCAUGGUAUUUCCGCUCACCCAUGUAUUAUUCUCUAUAACUUUGGCGGAGUUUUAAUGGGAAUAUUAAUGUUAGGUUUUUUAUCAAACUGCGGAAAUUUGAAAAAAAAAACACCCAAAUGUUUAGGCCCAGUAACCCGGGGAUUUUAACAAUUGAACAAGAUUUUUUAGCCGGGAUUUUAACAACCGUGAAAUGUUAAAAUCCCCGCUUAGUCCCGGGGGUCGGGGGGCCGGGCUUUCGAUUGACUAGGGCAUAAUACAUGCAAUACAACAAAUACAUUUACGUGUCCAAACAAAAUUUAGAUAAAAAACUGUUUUCAGCAGACGAGAAACUAUGUCGAUGCACGAUGCUAGAUGCAGUGACACAACAAUACUCAGAGUUCCCUAUAACAUAUUAGUUGUCCUAUUAUUAGACUGUUGGUGGAACAUUGGUUAGUGCCAUUUUUGGGAAGCAACAUCUGUGAGUCCGCAGUUGUGGUUACUUGAGUUGAGUUACAGUUAAUAGAAUACAUGCAUGGUUUGGACACUCGAUGGGAGUAUACAAUAUAACCCAUUAACUAUGUUGGUUUCGGUUUAUGCAAGAAUUUGGGCCUAUCUCGUCACGUGUGUAUUGUAUUUUUUCUCGCACAACAAAUAGCAAUGUUUAAAUUGAGCAUUUGUUCAAGUUACGGAUGGAUAACUCAACCACAAACUUGUUAUUGGUUAUUUGAGUGAAAAUAAAAUAAACACGUGACGAGAUAGGACCAAAUUCUUGCAUAAAACUGGACAAUAACAUAGUUAAUGAGUUAUAUUGUACUUUCAUCGAGUCUCCAAACCAUCUAUUAAAAUAACUGUGCUUGAGUGUGGGGCAAUUAAACAAUGGGAAAUGACCAGCCUGUUUUGCGUGCACUGUUUGCCUGCGAAUCGGGCCUUUCAGAACCGCGGGAAAUCGGGCUGGAGCACGCGUUCGUUCUUUUGAUAUGGCAACUGAUUGACAAUAAAAGAAGCACGAAAAAUGGCAAAAUUCGCACGGUGCUUGUUUGCAAAAAUAACUGCAAACUGCUCUAAUUCUUUCUGUCACUUUCAUUUGAUCGCAUCCGUGAGUCAGCCUCAACGGCCUUUGAUUGUGAUUAGAGUUCAAAUUCUGCAGUACUCAGUAUGCUACCUGCAAGGAUUAUUCUAAGGAUAUUUUACAACUCCAGUAAAUCAAGAUAUCUCAAAACAAUAGAACAUCUAUAAGACUAUAUUGCAAGGGUUAUUUAUGGCUAUUGGCCGGGGAACACUCCUAAAAUACUAUCCUAUUUACAGCUUACUCAUCGGCGCUCUAUUCAGGUUUGUUUGGACAGUUCCUUUGGCUUUGGUUAUUUCCAGUUCAAUACGGGAAAAAGUUGGGUUGAGAAAGAUAACGCAACACAUCUUCGCCGGCCAUCCUUAUCACCAACGGCCGAGUCUUACCAAAUAACCCAUGUCUGUGCUCACCAUUAAUAAUCAUCACGUGAUUACAUACUAUACACCUUCAGCGCGAUUGUUGAAAGUCGCUGUUAAUCAAUGCAGUUUUUAAUAUCUUAAAAAAUUUACUGCAUUAAGCAAUUUCAGUUGCUGAUUUUAUACAUCAGUCAAAAUCACUUCCAAAUAGGUAAAACCUAUACAUGCGUUGUUCCGGACGAGAAAUACUUGUAUAUGUUGACCUACUGAACAGAAGUAUGGAACUGGAAGUAAAAAUUAAAACUAACAACUCCAGUAAUUUCCAUUUACAGCUCAAAAAAUAUUCUCCAAGAAUUGAUAGCAAAUCCAGCUUGGAAGUUUAACAUCCCUAGCCCUCUCCAGGCCACAUGCGUGAAGAAUGCUUCAAGACUAAUAGUUUAACUUGUCCAUGCAACCAGCGCAGGUUUUAUUAAUUCGUUUACCCUGGUUUCCUCAACACUAGCCAGGAUGACUUUUAAUGGCAUUUCUAUUUCAGAAAGCUACCAGCACAUGUAGCUGCUCCUGUGGUGGCCAUGAUGAACAUGACGAAUUAACCCCUCGUGUGAAACAAUGCACUUUCGAAAACCUUAAUGAUGAUAAGGAUAAGGGUCAGAUUGAGGUAAAUAGAAAAUUU